rnacentral:lncRNA from 1 species
GCCCAGCAAGGGCCAUCUGCCCGUGGCCCAUGCACCAAUGUCCCUGUACUGCCCUUCUUGGCGCUACCCAGAAUGCCUCACUCAGAAGCAUCGCGGGACUCCUGGCUUUCCCAUACAUCUCAAACAGGGACCAGAGCAAGGGAAAUAAAUACGAGAAAUUAAAUUUCUAUACCAGCAUUUCUAACCUUGACACUAUGGAAUUUCAAGCCAGACAAUUCUUUGUUGUGGGAGGCCAUUCUGAGCAUUGUAGACUUCCUAGUCUGUACCGCCGAAUGCUAGCGGCAGCCUUUCUUCUCCAAGCUGCGACAAUCAAAAAUGUCUGCAGACAUUGCCAAAUGGCCCCUGGGAGGCAAAGCUACCCUUUGGUUGACAGCUGCUGAUCUAUACAACAGUGCGGCUGUCACCCACUGCUCAGGUCCAGGAGGGCAGCUCUCCCAGGGAGGCCAAGGGUCUGGGAAGGUGAGUACACACAGAAGUCGGAAGUAAAGAGCCACCAGCAAAGGUGACCCACCUGGACACCUUCACCACAGCAGCACUGGGCUCUCCCGCGCUGUGCUGUGAUGCUGCAACCCAGGCCUCAUGUGUCUCCCUGGGCCUGCCUCAAUGCGGGCUGCCUGUGGCCUGUCCCCUUGCCUUCUCCAGAUAAAAAGUCAUUCUGUUCCUGGAGCUUUUGUGGCGUCUCAUUUAAUCUCCAUAACAAUAAAUUCAUUCAUUCAUUCA